UACGAAGGGGGCUAGCGUUGCUCGGAAUUACUGGGCGUAAAGGGAGCGUAGGCGGAUAGUUUAGUCAGAGGUGAAAGCCCAGGGCUCAACCUCGGAAUUGCCUUUGAUACUGGCUAUCUUGAGUACGGAAGAGGUAUGUGGAACUCCGAGUGUAGAGGUGAAAUUCGUAGAUAUUCGGAAGAACACCAGUGGCGAAGGCGACAUACUGGUCCGUUACUGACGCUGAGGCUCGAAAGCGUGGGGAGCAAACAGG
rnacentral:rRNA from 1 species